rnacentral:lncRNA from 1 species
CACUACCACCUUAAUUAGAUGGUGGUCCUCUCCCUAGCCUAUAAAUACUUCCACCCUUCACCAUAACAAAUAGGGGAGAUCCAUCCAAAGACACAUUCACGCGGACAGUUUAGGGAGAAGGGAGGAAGGCACAUUAUGCCGCAAGGCAGAGUCUUUUCUUCUUAACCAUUAUACACAUUCUCAUAACAAAAACACAAUUCCAUGCACCUUCAUUUCCCUUUCCUUGCUGUGA